UUGUUUGAACCGCAUGGUUCAGACAUAAAAGGUGGCUUCGGCUACCACUUACAGAUGGACCCGCGGCGCAUUAGCUAGUUGGUGAGGUAACGGCUCACCAAGGCGACGAUGCGUAGCCGACCUGAGAGGGUGAUCGGCCACACUGGGACUGAGACACGGCCCAGACUCCUACGGGAGGCAGCAGUAGGGAAUCUUCCGCAAUGGACGAAAGUCUGACGGAGCAACGCCGCGUGAGUGAUGAAGGUUUUCGGAUCGUAAAGCUCUGUUGUUAGGGAAGAACAAGUGCCGUUCAAAUAGGGCGGCACCUUGACGGUACCUAACCAGAAAGCCACGGCUAACUACGUGCCAGCAGCCGCGGUAAUACGUAGGUGGCAAGCGUUGUCCGGAAUUAUUGGGCGUAAAGGGCUCGCAGGCGGUUUCUUAAGUCUGAUGUGAAAGCCCCCGGCUCAACCGGGGAGGGUCAUUGGAAACUGGGGAACUUGAGUGCAGAAGAGGAGAGUGGAAUUCCACGUGUAGCGGUGAAAUGCGUAGAGAUGUGGAGGAACACCAGUGGCGAAGGCGACUCUCUGGUCUGUAACUGACGCU
rnacentral:rRNA from 1 species